rnacentral:rRNA from 1 species
UACAGAGGUCUCAAGCGUUGUUCGGAUUCAUUGGGCGUAAAGGGCUCGUAGGCGGUCCAUCGCGUCGGGAGUGAAAAGCUGGGGCUUAACCCCAGUCCUGCUUCCGAUACGGGUGGACUAGAGGUAGGUAGGGGAGAACGGAAUUCCUGGUGUAGCGGUGAAAUGCGCAGAUAUCAGGAGGAACACCGGUGGCGAAGGCGGUUCUCUGGGCCUUACCUGACGCUGAGGAGCGAAAGCAUGGGGAGCAAACAGG